GCAUGGCCGGGGUCCCGAUCUGCGCCCUCCUCCCGCUCCUCGUCGGCGUCUGCGGCGCCGUCACCGGCUCACGGGUCUAUCCCGCCAACGAAGUUACCUUGCUGGAUUCCAGAUCAGUUCAGGGAGAACUGGGGUGGAUAGCAAGUCCCCUGGAAGGAGGGUGGGAGGAAGUGAGCAUCAUGGAUGAGAAGAACACUCCGAUCCGCACCUAUCAAGUCUGCAACGUGAUGGAGCCCAGUCAGAAUAAUUGGUUACGAACUGAUUGGAUUCCCCGUGAGGGGGCUCAGAGGGUUUAUAUUGAAAUCAAGUUCACACUAAGAGACUGCAACAGCCUGCCAGGUGUCAUGGGAACUUGCAAAGAGACUUUCAACCUUUAUUACUACGAAUCAAACAAUGAUAAAGAGCGUUUUAUUCGCGAGAGCCAGUUUGCCAAGAUAGACACCAUUGCUGCUGAUGAGAGCUUCACUCAGGUGGACAUUGGUGACAGGAUCAUGAAGCUGAAUACAGAGAUCCGGGAUGUGGGACCACUCAGCAAGAAGGGGUUUUAUUUGGCUUUUCAGGACGUCGGUGCCUGCAUUGCUUUGGUCUCUGUCCGUGUGUUCUAUAAGAAGUGCCCGCUGACGGUUCGGAACCUGGCGCAGUUUCCAGACACCAUCACUGGGGCUGACACCUCCUCGCUGGUGGAGGUUCGCGGCUCCUGUGUCAACAACUCAGAAGAGAAGGAUGUGCCAAAAAUGUACUGUGGGGCAGAUGGCGAAUGGCUGGUGCCCAUUGGCAACUGCUUGUGCAAUGCUGGCUACGAGGAGCGCAACGGAGAAUGCCAAGCUUGCAAAAUCGGAUACUACAAGGCUCUCUCGACAGAUUUUGCCUGUGCCAAAUGCCCGCCUCACAGCUACUCCAUCUGGGAAGGCUCCACGUCCUGCACCUGCGACCGGGGCUUUUUCCGAGCGGAAAAUGAUGCUGCCUCCAUGCCCUGCACUCGCCCUCCAUCUGCUCCCCAGCACCUGAUUUCCAACGUCAAUGAGACCUCUGUGAACCUGGAGUGGAGCCCCCCGCAGAACAAAGGUGGCCGGGAGGACAUCUCCUACAACGUGGUGUGCAAGAGGUGCGGGGCCGGCGAGCUCAGCCGCUGCCGCUCCUGUGGCAGUGGGGUGCACUUCAGCCCCCAGCAGAACGGCCUGAAAACCACCAAAGUCUCCAUCACUGACCUCCUGGCACACACCAACUACACCUUUGAGGUCUGGGCGGUGAACGGAGUGUCCAAGCAAAACCCCAGCCAGGACCAGGCCGUGUCAGUCACUGUGACAACUAACCAAGCAGCUCCAUCCCCGAUUGCAUUGAUCCAGGCUAAGGAAAUAACAAGGCACAGCGUUGCCUUGGCUUGGCUGGAGCCUGACAGGCCAAAUGGAGUCAUCCUGGAGUAUGAGGUCAAAUACUAUGAAAAGGACCAGAACGAGCGCAGCUACCGCAUCGUGAAAACGGCCUCCAGGAACACCGACAUCAAAGGCCUCAACCCCCUGACCUCCUACGUGUUCCACGUGCGGGCCAGGACAGCAGCAGGCUAUGGAGACUUCAGUGGGCCCUUCGAGUUCACCACUAACACAGUUCCUUCCCCCAUCAUUGGCGAUGGUACCAAUCCCACAGUGCUUCUUGUUUCAGUGGCUGGCAGUGUUGUUCUUGUGGUCAUUCUCAUUGCAGCCUUUGUCAUCAGCAGGAGGCGCAGUAAGUACAGCAAGGCAAAGCAAGAGGCAGAUGAGGAGAAACACUUGAACCAAGGUGUUAGAACAUAUGUGGAUCCUUUUACAUAUGAGGAUCCAAACCAAGCUGUGAGGGAAUUUGCCAAAGAAAUUGAUGCCUCCUGCAUAAAGAUUGAAAAAGUUAUUGGUGUGGGGGAGUUUGGUGAAGUGUGCAGUGGACGUCUCAAAGUGCCGGGAAAAAGAGAGAUCUGUGUUGCUAUCAAGACUCUAAAAGCUGGUUACACUGAUAAACAAAGGAGAGACUUUCUGAGUGAGGCCAGUAUCAUGGGACAAUUUGACCACCCCAAUAUCAUCCACUUGGAAGGUGUAGUUACUAAAUGUAAACCAGUAAUGAUCAUAACUGAGUACAUGGAGAAUGGUUCCUUGGAUGCUUUCCUCAGGAAGAAUGAUGGCAGAUUCACAGUCAUCCAGCUGGUGGGGAUGCUCCGUGGCAUUGGCUCAGGGAUGAAGUACCUGUCUGACAUGAGCUACGUGCACCGGGACCUCGCUGCUCGCAACAUUCUGGUCAACAGCAACCUGGUCUGCAAAGUGUCUGAUUUUGGCAUGUCCCGGGUCCUGGAGGAUGACCCUGAGGCAGCUUACACCACACGGGGUGGCAAGAUCCCCAUCAGGUGGACUGCUCCCGAGGCCAUCGCCUACCGCAAAUUCACCUCGGCCAGUGACGUCUGGAGCUACGGCAUCGUCAUGUGGGAGGUGAUGUCCUACGGGGAGAGACCCUACUGGGACAUGUCCAAUCAAGAUGUGAUUAAAGCCAUCGAGGAAGGGUACCGGCUGCCCCCGCCCAUGGACUGCCCCAUCGCCCUCCACCAGCUGAUGCUGGACUGCUGGCAGAAGGAGCGCAGCGACCGGCCCAAGUUUGGGCAGAUCGUCAACAUGCUGGACAAGCUCAUCCGCAACCCCAACAGCCUGAAGAGGACAGGCAGCGAGAGCUCCAGACCUAGCACAGCCCUGCUGGAUCCCAGCUCCCCUGAGUUCUCGGCGGUUGUUUCUGUCAGUGACUGGCUCCAAGCCAUGAAAAUGGAGCGAUACAAGGAUAACUUCACAGCUGCUGGCUAUACCACCCUAGAGGCUGUGGUGCAUAUGAACCAGGAGGACCUGGCCAGGAUUGGGAUCACGGCCCUGGCACACCAGAACAAGAUCCUGAGCAGCGUCCAAGCGAUGCGCACCCAAAUGCAACAGAUGCACGGCAGGAUGGUUCCCGUCUGAGCCAGCACUGAAUAAACUCAAAACUCUUGAAAUUAGUUUACCUCAUCCAUGCACUUUAAUUGAAGAACUGCACUUUUUUUACUUCGUCUCCUCGCCCGUCGAAAUAAAGAUCUGCAGCAUUGCUUGAUGUACAGAUUGUGGAACCCGAGCGUGUGUGUUGGGAGGGGGGCCUCCAGAAAUGACAAGCCGUCAUUUGAAACCAGACCUGGAACAAAUUGUUUCUUGGAACAUACUUCUCUGUUGAUCAAUGAUAUGUAAAAUACAUGUAUCUAUAUAAAUAUAAAGUCACAUUCAAGUUUUGAUGAUAUGUUUGCUGCCAGAUACUGUGCUUAAGAAACAACAGCAUUACUUUCCUUCUCCCUGUGACCUGUAGGAUUACAACCAUAGUGUUUUAUUUGUGGGUGAAACCACCGUUGUGUAUCUUUCACUGGAAUGAAGAACCUGCCCUAGGAUAUUCUUUGCAGUCUUGAUGCAUCACUGACACCUUGCAGAAACCUCAGUGAGAAUAUCGUGUGGCUAAUCAGUGCCUGCCAAUUAGUGAUCUACCUGUUUAUGGGCUUGAGACAUGAAGUGUCCCACCUUGUGGAUUACUGGGCAAAACUGGACUUCUGGGGAGGUUCUUGGCUGUUGUGUCGUGCUGAAGCCUACCAUUGAAAGACUUUUGUGACCAUCUUGCCAGUAGUCAGCUGUGACAAUCGUGGCUGUGGAGCUUUCAGACUUUUCUCUUUCAAGAAACUCGCUCCCUUUACCUCACGGAAGGGAAACGGAUUUUGCUUUCACAGCCUCGUAGCCCGUCCUGUUGAUCACAUUGACCAUGGAGGAACACAGACUAGACAUGAAGCCUCUGGACCCACAGUUAUGUCUUCCAUAGCACUGAUUCUGGAAAAGGCAUUUUGAACAGUCUUUGGUCCCUGAAGAGAGUGUGACUUUUACUUUCUCUUUUUUUUGUUUCCUGGGCCACCCACUCCGUUGUUUUUCUCCACUGAGCGAUAACUAACUCGUUAAGACUCAGCACCCAGUUGUCACUUGAGGAAUGUACUGUGUCAAAUCCCUGCAGACUUCUGGAUUUUGAUUUUCAUCCUCUUCUGCUUUCUCUGCUUACCUUUGGUUUUAUUUAUAUAUUUUGUUGUUGUCUCUCCUCAUUCCCCUGGCUGUCACCGCUGCAUCCCGGACCAAUGAAG